rnacentral:rRNA from 1 species
GACGAACGCUGGCGGCGUGCCUAAUACAUGCAAGUCGAACGCAGUGGGGACGGGUUAGUAACACGUGCGUAACCUCCCGUCAGAGGGGAUAACACUUGGCAACAGCUGCUAAACCGCUACUGAUGGAUGGACCCGCGGUGCAUUAGCUAGUUGGUGGGGUAACGGCUCACCAAGGCCGCGAUGCCUAGCCGACCUGGGAGGGUGAACGGCCCACAUGGGACUGAGACACGGGCCAGAAUCCUACGGGAGGGAGCAGUAGGGGAACUUCGGAAAUGGACGAAAGUCUGAACGAGCAACGCCGCGGGAGUGAAGAAGGUUUUCGGAUCGGAAAACUCUGUUGUGAGAGAAGCGGUAUCCAACCAGAAAGCCACGGCUAAAGACGUGCCAGCAGCCGCGGGAAUUUC